ACUGGAGGAUUAAGAAGGCUGAAUCUGAUAAAGCAAGACUUUGCUGAUGCAUUCCUCCUAGGGAAAAGGGUUCCAGAGAUCAGCCCUUACUGGAGAAUAUCACAGGGCUGACUGUACUAACCAACAUUA
ensembl:scaRNA